GCUUACGGCCACACCAGUUUGAGAACGCCCAAUCUCAUCUGACCUUUGAAACUAAGCAAAUUUGGACCUGGAUAGUACCUAGGUGGGACCCUACCUAGGAAUACCAGCUGCUGUAGGCU
ensembl:rRNA 5S_rRNA 5S ribosomal RNA